rnacentral:rRNA from 1 species
ACUCAAAGGAAUAGACGGGGACCCGCACAAGCGGUGGAGCAUGUGGUUUAAUUCGACGGUAAGCGAGGAACCUUACCAAGGCUUGACAUUCUUCUGCAAGCGCACGGAAACGUGUGACCUUCGAGGGUGAAGAACAGGUGCUGCACGGUUGUCGUCAGCUCGUGUCGUGAGAUGUUCCCUUAAGUGGGAGAACGAGCGCAACCCCCGUGAUAUGUUACUUUUCAUAUCAGACUGCCAGCGUUUAAGCUGGAGGAAGGUGGGGAUGACGUCAAAUCAGCGUGGCUCUUACGCCUUGGGCGACACACGUGCUACAAUGGGAAAGAACAAAGGGACGCAAAAUCGCAAGAUAGAGCAAAUCCUCUCAAAAAUUUCCCUCAGUUCAGAUUGUGGGCUGCAACUCGCCCGCAUGAAGCUGGAAUCGCUAGUAACCGUGAAUCAGCCUCGUCACGGUGAAUACGUUCUCGGGUUUUGUACACACCGCCCGU